rnacentral:rRNA from 1 species
CGGCGUAAGCGUGGUUAAGGAAUAAUAAACACUAAAGCUGAACGCUUACUAAGCUGUUAUACGCUCCCGAAAGUAAGAAACCCAUCUACGAAGGUGGCUUUACCUUGCCUGAACCCACGAAAGCUAAGGCA